rnacentral:lncRNA from 1 species
AAUUUUGUAAACAGUCCAUUUUUCAAGUGCUUUGAGACAAUGGCUCAGGCUUUAUUUGGGAUGUAAUUGAAUUGUAUACCAAUAUGAAUUCUGUUUAAAGUUUUCUUCCCAUAAUAAUUUCCCUAGAAAUAGUUUUGAUUCUCCUGUAAUCUGGGUAGCAGUAAUGUUAAAGAUCUAACACAUGCUUCACUUACUGUAUAGGCUUUAUUUUAAUUAAACUUCAUUGGCAAAGCUUAAGUAAUCCAGUGCAGAUCUGCAGGUGAUAUUAAUCCUAUCACACUAUAAAUACUGCAGUGCCUGUAUAAAAAACAAUCAUCUAGGUUCACACUAUAGGUGGAGGAAGUCUAAUCCAUAACCAGUGGAGUUUAGAGAGUGAUUCAUCUGACCAUGUUGCUCUUGUUUCUUUUAUUCCUGGAUUUCUGCAGGUACUGGGACAUGCCUUGUUGUCCAUAACAUCGAGCUUCUGGUGAUUAGGUACUUAAACUACAAUCAAUUCACCUGCAUUUCAGAGUAUAUGGUUCUUCUCCUGCAGCUCCAUUGGCCCCCAGUAACAUGAACUAUGCUGAUGUAUCAUUCCAGGUAAUUUUCCACAUUUGUAUUUCUGUCAUAUUAAUGUAGUUCCUUUAUCAUAGCCGUUUCACAGAAAGAACAUAUAUUUUUAGAAUAUUUUUAUAAUACUCAGUUACACUUACUUGUAGCACAUGCUGGGUAAGUACUAGAUUGACUGAAAUGUUAUUAAUACCUGCCAGGAGAUAGCAUUACAGAGCAAAGUUUAUUUUUCCUUAAUCUUGGCAAUGAUAAGACAGGUGGUUCAAGUUUAAGUGAUGAGUGAACAGAGGAAAGUAACACCUCUCCUUUUUAUAGCCACCCACUUCCAUUUUCCUGUCUUUUGAAUUUUCCUUGAGAGGUUAAAAGAGAUCUUUGUACUCUUUACUGUGUACACUGGCUUGUUGAAAGACCAAAAAGAACAUUCAUGAUCUAUCAAUCCUACCCUUCACACAAUCAGUGUGUUAUGGUGUGGGCUGUGUAGUUAUGUUUUGAAAGCAG